CCUACGGGUGGCUGCAGUCGAGAAUCAUUCACAAUGGGGGAAACCCUGAUGGGGCGACGCCGCGUGGGGGAAUGAAGGUCUUCGGAUUGUAAACCCCUGUCAUGAGGGAGCAAAUUAAAAAGAUAGUACCACAAGAGGAAGAGACGGCUAACUCUGUGCCAGCAGCCGAGGUAAUACAGAGGUCGCAAGCGUUGUUCGGCAUCACUGGGCGUAAAGCGUGCGUAGGCUGUUUCGUAAGUCGUGUGUGAAAGGCGCGGGCUCAACCCGCGGACGGCACAUGAUACUGCGAGACUAGAGUGAUGGAGGGGGAACCGGAAUUCUCGGUGUAGCAGUGAAAUGCGUAGAUAUCGAGAGGAACACUCGUGGCGAAGGCGGGUUCCUGGACAUUAACUGACGCUGAGGCACGAAGGCCAGGGGAGCGAAAGGGAUUAGAUACCCGAGUAGUC
rnacentral:rRNA from 1 species